rnacentral:rRNA from 1 species
GAGAUGUUGGGUUAAGUCCCGCAACGAGCGCAACCCCUACCAUUAGUUGCCACCAGUUCGGCUGGGCACUCUAAUGGGACUGCCACGUCAAGUCGGAGGAAGGUGGGGAUGACGUCAAGUCCUCAUGGCCCUUAUGUCCGGGGCUACACACGUGCUACAAUGGUCGGUACAAAACGUCGCGAACCCGCGAGGGGGAGCUAAUCGGCAAAAGCCGGCCUCAGUACGGAUUGCAGUCUGCAACUCGACUGCAUGAAGCUGGAAUCGCUAGUAAUCGCUGAUCAGCAGGCAGCGGUGAAUACGUUCCCGGGCCUUGUACACACCGCCCGUC